UACGUAGGGUGCAAGCGUUGUCCGGAAUUAUUGGGCGUAAAGAGCUCGUAGGCGGUUUGUCGCGUCGGAUGUGAAAGCCCGGGGCUUAACCCCGGGUCUGCAUUCGAUACGGGCAGACUAGAGUUCGGUAGGGGAGAUCGGAAUUCCUGGUGUAGCGGUGAAAUGCGCAGAUAUCAGGAGGAACACCGGUGGCGAAGGCGGAUCUCUGGGACGGUACUGACGCUGAGACGCGAAAGCGUGGGGAGCGAACAGG
rnacentral:rRNA from 1 species